rnacentral:rRNA from 1 species
UACAGAGGUGGCAAGCGUUGUUCGGAAUUACUGGGCGUAAAGGGCGCGUAGGCGGUCUUGUAAGUCCCGCGUGAAAAUCCCCCCGGCUCAACUGGGGAACUGCGUGGGAAACUGCGAGGCUUGAGUUCGGGAGAGGGAAGCGGAAUUCCGGGUGUAGCGGUGAAAAUGCGUAGAUAUCCGGAGGAACACCGGUGGCGAAGGCGGUUCUCUGGGGACGGUACUGACGCUGAGACGCGAAAAGCGUGGGGGAGCGAACAGG